AACUCACGGGGGGGAAUCACGUGACUUUGUAUAGUAAUACCCGAGAGAAAAUGGCGACUGCUGAGCCCCGUAUCUGCAAUUUGGACCAAAAACGCAAAGGAGAAGACAUUCGCCAUAUCACAUUGAUAUUUAAUGCCAUCAUAGAACUGUAAAAUGAGGGCCAAGACACACCUGAAACUGCAGAGGUCAAA